GUUGUCUUGCAAUUCAGGGUUUGGUGGGUGACACCCUCCUCAGAAAGCUGGGUCUUAUCUGCAGUGCUCCAUGAUUUGGCCAAUGAGCCAAGUUCUUUCCAUGAAAUCUGUGGGGACUUGGAGAGAGAGAUGUAGGGGACAGCUAAGUCCCAGUGGUGGUAUAGAUGAGCUACCUCUGGAGGCAGGUGGACUAAGGCUAGACAAUUGCCAUUAGGAUCAAACAACAGAUCUGUUAUGAUGAGCCGCACCUCCACCAGCUGGAACAGGUCUUCUUCAUAGUGGGGUUUGUGCCCUGGAGUAUUUCUGAACCACAAGGUGCAGUGAGGGAAAGGCUGAGUGUCACGUGGGAUGGGGGGCUUGCGCACAUUCAGAAGAAGCAUGGAGUCUGGGUCUAUGUCUAGGCUGUACCAGUAGUGGGGUAUUUCCUCCCUGGGAAGUGGCAGAAUAGUGGCCGGGUUAAGGGAGUAGCACCUCUGCAGGGAUACGUUGUAUGGUAGCAGAAGAGAGCACUGUAAACUAAGGUGGCGAGCAGCUGAGAGGUGCUUGGGCUGGACCUGGUUGAGGAUGUCAUGAGGUGCAAGAAUGGUGAGUUUAUGCCAAAUCACAUGUCUUG